UUUGAUAAUCACUGGGUGAGAUUGCGUUUCGGCCGCAAUUGGGGGUGUAAGACACCCUAUCAAA
rnacentral:tRNA from 1 species